UACGUAGGUGGCAAGCGUUGUCCGGAUUUACUGGGCGUAAAGAGCGCGCAGGCGGUCGUUCAAGUCGCGUGUGAAAGCCCCCGGCUCAACUGGGGAGGGUCACGCGAUACUGAUCGACUCGAAGGCAGGAGAGGGAAGUGGAGUUCCCGGUGUAGUGGUGAAAUGCGUAGAUAUCGGGAGGAACACCAGUGGCGAAGGCGACUUCCUGGCCUGUUCUUGACGCUGAGGCGCGAAAGCUAGGGGAGCAAACGGG
rnacentral:rRNA from 1 species